UGGCAAAAAUGACUCUGGAGUACUUCUCAA
rnacentral:piRNA from 1 species